rnacentral:rRNA from 1 species
AACGAACGCUGGCGGCGUGGAUAAGACAUGCAAGUCGAACGCUUGUUAUGGGGGUAGCAAUAGUUCUAUAGCAGGAGUGGCGGAAGGGUGCGUAACAUGUGGGUAAUCUGCCGUGAAGGACAGGGAUAACUUGCUGAAAGGCGAGCUAAUACCGGAUGAGAUAACCAGGAGGCAGCUUUUGGUAUCAAAGUUGGGACUGUAAAAGGCCUAACGCUUCAUGAUGAGCCCGCAACCUAUCAGCUAGUUGGUGAGGUAAAGCUCACAAGGCUAAGACGGGUAGCUGGUCUGAGAGGACGACCAGCCACACGUGGAACUGAGA